AGAAAAUUCCAGAAAGUAUACUUGUCAAUUUCAUAGGCAGACAGAAUGUGCAGCGUGCUACUAUCGAAGCAAUUCUGAAGAAAACACUUCCAGAGGCCAUGUCUUCAGUAGAGGGUCGAGCUUUGAAAGACUCCGUUCGCAUCGUAACUAAAUUCUCAGAGAUGGACGAGACCUUUUCCCUCCAAAAUAUUUUCAGAUAUGACGUUGUGGUUGAUUU
rnacentral:misc_RNA from 1 species